rnacentral:rRNA from 1 species
GAGUUUGAUCCUGGCUCAGAUUAAACGCUGGCGGCAUGCCUUACACAUGCAAGUCGAACGGCAGCACGGGGGCAACCCUGGUGGCGAGUGGCGGACGGGUGAGUAAAGCAUCGGAACGUAUCCUGGAGUGGGGGAUAACGUAGCGAAAGUUACGCUAAUACCGCAUAUUCUGUGAGCAGGAAAGCAGGGGAUCGCAAGACCUUGCGCUCUGGGAGCGGCCGAUGUCGGAUUAGCUAGUUGGUGGGGUAAAGGCCUACCAAGGCGACGAUCCGUAGCGGGUCUGAGAGGAUGAUCCGCCACACUGGGACUGAGACACGGCCCAGACUCCUACGGGAGGCAGCAGUGGGGAAUUUUGGACAAUGGGCGGAAGCCUGAUCCAGCCAUGCCGCGUGAGUGAAGAAGGCCUUCGGGUUGUAAAGCUCUUUCGGCGGGGAAGAAAUUGCACGGGUUAAUACCCUGUGUAGAUGACGGUACCCGAAUAAGAAGCACCGGCUAACUACGUG